rnacentral:rRNA from 1 species
GUAGUAACAGAGAGUUUGAUUAUGGCCCAGAUUGAACGCUGGCGGGAUGCUUUACACAUGCAAGUCGUGAACGGCAGCACGGACUUCGGUCUGGUGGCGAGUGGCGAACGGGUGAGUAAUGUAUCGGAACGUGCCUAGUAGCGGGGGAUAACUACGCGAAAGCGUAGCUAAUACCGCAUACGCCCUUCGGGGGAAAGCGGGGACCUUCGGGCCUCGCACUAUUAGAGCGGCCGAUAUCGGAUUAGCUAGUUGGUGGGGUAACGGCUCACUAAGGCGACGAUCCGUAGCUGGUUUGAGAGGACGACCAGCCACACUGGGACUGAGACACGGCCCAGACUCCUACGGGAGGCGCAGUGGGAAUUUUGGACAAUGGGGGAAACCCCUGAUCCAGCCAUCCCGCGUGUGCGAUGAAGGCCUUCGGGUUGUAAAGCACUUUUGGCAGGAAGAAACGGCACGGGAUAAUACCCCGUGCAAAUUGACGGUACCUUGGUGAAUAAGCACCGGCUAACUACGCCAGCAGCCGCGGUAAUACGUAGGGUGCAAGCGUUAAUCGGAAUUACUGGGCGUAAAGCGUGCGCAGGCGGUUCGGAAAGAAAGAUGUGAAAUCCCAGAGCUUAACUUUGGAACUGCAUUUUUAACUACCGAGCUAGAGUGUGUCAGAGGGAGGUGGAAUUCCGCGUGUAGCAGUGAAAUGCGUAGAUAUGCGGAGGAACACCGAUGGCGAAGGCAGCUUCCCGGGAUAACACUGACGAUCAUGCACGAAAGCGUGUGGGGAGCAAACAGGAUUAGAUACCCUGGUAGUCCACGCCCUAAACGAUGUCAACUAGCCGUUGGGGCCUUCGGGCCUUGGUAGCGCAGCUAACGCGUGAAGUUGACCGCCUGGGGAGUACGGUCGCAAGAUUAAACUCAAAGGAAUUGACGGGGACUCGCACAAGCGGUGGAUGAUGUGGAUUAAUUCGAUGCAACGCGAAAACCUUACCUACCCUUGACAUGUCUGGAAUCCCGAAGAGAUUUGGGAGUGCUCGCAAGAGAACCGGAACACAGGUGCUGCAUGGCUGUCGUCAGCUCGUGUCGAGAUGGGUUAAGUCCGCAACGAGCGCAAACUUUGUCAUUAGUUGCUACGAAAGGGCACUCUAAUGAGACUGCCGGUGACAAACCGAGGAAGGUGGGGAUGACGUCAAGUCCUCAUGGCCCUUAUGUGGGUAGGGCUUCACACGUCAUACAAUGGUCGGGACAGAGGGUCGCCAACCCGCGAGGGGGGAGCCAAUCCCAGAAACCCGAUCGUAGUCCGGAUCGCAGUCUGCAACUCGACUGCGUGAAGUCGGAAUCGCUAGUAAUCGCGGAUCAGCAUGUCGCGGUGAAUACGUUCCCGGGUCUUGUACACACCGCCCGUCACACCAUGGGGAGUGGGUUUUACCAGAAGUAGUUAGCCUAACCGUAAGGAGGGCGAUUACCACGGUAGGAUUCAUGACUGGGGUGAAGUCGUAACAAGGUAA